CGGCGGGACACCUCUCCCCAACGAGAGGCAGCUAUCUGAAAGGGUAGACACA
rfam:Lyngbya confervoides BDT141951 scaffold_63, whole genome shotgun sequence.